CCCCUCUGGCAAUGGGCAAAGAAACAACUUGGUGGUGUUGUUCUUAUAUAGGUCAGGGGCAGAGCAGAUGGCAGUCCUUUGUUCAUCCUAGCUUGAUGCCUGGCUUGGUGGCCAAGAUGGUUUAUGCCUAGGACACAUAA